rnacentral:lncRNA from 10 species
GAAAGAAGGAAGGAAGGAAAGAAAGAAGGAAGGAGAAAGAGAAAGAAAGAAAGAGAAAGAAGAAAACAAGAAAGAAAGAAAGAAGAAAGAAAGAAAGGAAGGAAGGAAGAAAGAAAGGAAGGAAGAAAGAAAGAAAGAAAGAGAAAGAAAGAAAGAAAGAAAAAGAAAGAAAGAAAGAAAGAAAGAAAGAAAGAAAGAAAGAAAGAAAGAAAGAAAGAAAGAAAGAAAGAAAGGGAAAGAAAGAAAGGAUAGAGCAGGAAUGGAGCUAUGGUCACGCCAAGCGAAACAGAAAGGGGUCUGGCUCUCCUGGCUUUCCUGAGCAGUGGUAAGGCUCUGAUUUUCUUUUAGAUAAGCCACACUGAGACCAGCUCCCCCCACACAUGUUACACUCACAUCCUGACUUUCACCUCCAGAUCUAAAUUCCCCCUGAACUCACCCCAUGCUCUCAGCCCCUCCAGCAGCAAACCCAGUCUUUGCUGAAUGAGCACAGACAAGAGCACAAAGAAAGAAGGAAGAAUUCCAAGGAAAGAGAUUUCUCUGCUGAACCAUGGUGGUCACUACCUGCAGUGCUCUGAGAGUGGAAAAUAUAAGCCAAGUGCCUCCUGCAAGGGUGUAGCCUCAAGAGGAAACAGGGAUCAUUCCCACAUCUCCACCUCUGCACAGUCCAGAAGAGCCACUUGACCACUGUGUGAACCUUCUCUGGACUCUGCAUGUGAGCAAGACUUGCCAAUGGCAGCAACACUGUCUAUUGAUGAACAAGUUACUCCUUCAUUCCAUAAAAAGCUACAGAUUAAGGUGCUUUCUCAGUUUGUGGAAGCUCCCGAGCUCCUCCUACUCCAUAGCAUCCUAGUGAUGGUGCGUCUCACGGUACCAACCUGAAGAGUCAGUGAGCCAAGGAAGGUUUUUGUCUUCUAAAUACUGAAUGUGUAACCUAGAUGGAAGCCCAGAACAUAGCUUCAAGCUUGUUUCCAUGAAAAGGUCAUUCCAGGAUUCUUGUUGCUUGCCACAUAGCCUCUGUGAUGAAGUACUGUUGUCGUUGCUUCCUGGGAACCACAGGUGGGAGGGCUUUUUGGCAUUCUCUGUCACAGUCUAAGGACUCAGUUUCCCCAAAUUGCAUGCCUUGCUCUUCCAAAUGGAAAAGUCCUCUCUUCACACUCAUUAUCAGAAGAUUUCACACGAGGUGUUCAGAUACCUCUCACUCACACAUAUUCCAAGUGAUGAGACAAGGAACUAUUUGCCAAAGGGAAAAUAUCGUGUGGUUUUCUGUUCUCAUCGCCAAAAAUAAUUUCCAGAGGAGACUGUUUUUAAUUUCUUGUUUUAAUUUCCAUUUGGGCAUGACGAACAGUCUUCAAAAGCUAUGUCAUUGGAGAUUCUAAACCCAAAGGGAGAAGGCUUGCCUGGGCAACCUUAAUAUGAUUCGGAUACCACCCGUAUUUCAUCUUCCAGCUCACUGCCCUUUUUACAUGCAUUUUCUCAUGCUGGCUUCCACACCAACGCUGUGGGCAGACAAAGCCAGCAAUUGCUAUCGCUGUCUGUUGAUGCAUAGGAUCUGAGAUCUGAUUCAGCUACGAUGAAGAGUUAGCUGGUGGUACAGUUGGGACAUAAACCGAAAUCUUUGUACAUGUCGCUUUGGUGUUCACCAUUGCACGUCACAGGCUGCUUCCUUAUCACCCUCCUUAGUUGCUAUUCAUCGUCAGCUGUCUUCAGCUCUUCAUGGGUAUGUGUAUUCUCUGUCCAACUAUUAGGUUGGUGCGAAAGUAAUUGCCAUUUUGCCAUUGAAAUAAAAAUAGACUAAAAUAAAAUUUGAGUCUAAAGACAAUAACUAUGUCUAAUAUACCUGCUGUUCCCACAAAGCCUUAAAUACUCAAUAAAUAUUUGUUGGUUAGGCUUUUAUUGUGCAAAGAAUGAGAGUCAUAAAGGUAUUUUAUUUGUAUACCGUGAAAUCUAUAUCAAACUGAAUAUUUAGAUCCUUCUUUCAUAUAAAGGAAAAACAUAUCAGGACUGAAAUUUUUUCAAAUUUAUUUUAAAUGGAAAAAUGUCAAUUCAGGGCAGACUCAUUUCCUAUUCUAUAUCCAUUGUGGGUUUAGAUUAUAAUUUUGGAUGACAUCGAAAAGACUGGGGUGUUUUGCUGUUUUCCUUUGCUAAAUGACAUGAUUUGGGUACAAGUAAAAUUGUGUUUCUGUGGGUUUGCCUCCAUAUUUACUCGCUGCCUGAGUCCCAUUUUCCAGUGUUUCAUAGUCUGGAGAGGAAGUGUGGUCUAGUGGUCAGAAAAACAGUUUAGAAGGCUAGCAUCAUGGUUUCUAUUCCUGUCUCACUCCCUGACUCAUUGUAAGAUCUUCAGGGAGUUAGUUAAGCAUUUUGAGCCUCAGUUUAUCCAUUUUUUUCCUACCUAGAGAUGUUGCUCAGAAAUAAUCAGAUAAUCAAACAGUGUAAAAUAAAAAAUGAGGUUGGCUAUAAAAAGAAAUAAUGCUACAUACAUACAAAGCUUCAUGUAAUGAGUAGUAGGGGCUACAGAAGGAAAACAGGAUCCUCUAAUUAGUUUGCCAGCUGAAAGGAGUCGUCAAAGGCCCUUCUAGUAAGCACUGAUUCCACUGGUUAUGGGCACUAACUGGGAUAGUACCUGGAAAACAAUGUGUAAUGGGAAGAAAAUCAAGGAACUGGGAAUCUAGGGAAGAGGAGUGUUGGGAAUUGGGGGUCUUUCUCCUGACCUCCAAGGGAAAAUGUAAGUGAGCAGAAACACUCAAAUUUCGCUUGGAGUUCACACUCUUAGGCAUAGCAAUAGACCUUCAUAGAAGAUUCCAUUUGAUCAGGCUACAAAUUCAAGAUCAACUUGAAAUCUUGGCUUCUCUUCACCCAUCACUCUUUCCAUGUUAUCCAUCCUCUAGAAGAAAAGCUACAGUGGAUGUUAUUUCUUGUUGAGUUAAAAAGGGAAGCAUAUGCAAAACAAAAAUUAAAGCCGCUCCAGGGGCUGGGCACGAAUUACAGGUGGCUCACACCUGUAAUCCCAGCACUUUGGGAGGCCAAGGCGGGUGGAUCACUUGAGGUCAGGAGUUCCAGACCAGCCUGGCCAACAUGGCAAAACCCC